AGCAGCCGCGGUAAUUCCAGCUCCAAUAGCGUAUAUUAAAGUUGUUGCAGUUAAAAAGCUCGUAGUUGAAUUUCGGGAUUGACACAUCGGUCGUGCCUUAAGGGGUAUGAACUGGUGUAGUCAAUUUCUCACCUUCUGGAGAACCGCGAUGCCCUUAAUUGGGUGUCGCGGGGAACCAGGACCUUUACUUUGAAAAAAUUUAGAGUGUUUAAAGCAGGCAUUUUGCUUGAAUACAUUAGCAUGGAAUAAUAAAAUAGGACGGCAUGAUUCUAUUUUGUUGGUUUCUAGGAUCACCGUAAUGAUUAAUAGGGAUAGUUGGGGGCAUUAGUAUUCAAUUGUCAGAGGUGAAAUUCUUGGAUUUAUUGAAGACUAACUACUGCGAAAGCAUUUGCCAAGGAUGUUUUCAUUAAUCAAGAACGAAAGUUAGGGGAUCGAAGACGAUCAGAUACCGUCGUAGUCUUAACCAUAAACUAUGCCGACUAGGAAUCAGACGAUGUUAAUUUUUUUAAUGACUCGUUUG
rnacentral:misc_RNA from 1 species